UACGUAGGCAGCGAGCGUUGUUCGGAGUUACUGGGCGUAAGGGGUGUGUAGGCGGUUGGUUAAGUUUGGUGUGAAAUCUCCCGGCUCAACUGGGAGGGUGCGCCGAAUACUGAAUGACUAGAGUGCGGGAGAGGAAAGUGGAAUUCCUGGUGUAGCGGUGAAAUGCGUAGAUAUCAGGAGGAACACCGGUGGUGUAGACGGCUUUCUGGACCGUAACUGACGCUGAGACACGAAAGCGUGGGUAGCAAACAGG
rnacentral:rRNA from 1 species